rnacentral:rRNA from 1 species
CGCUGGCGGCGUGCCUAACACAUGCAAGUCGAGCGGGACAUGCGACGGAAAUGAAGUUUCGGAUGGAUUGAAGAUGUAUUGUCUAGCGGCGGACGGGUGAGUAACGCGUGAGCAACCUGUCCCUUACAGGGGGAUAACACAGCGAAAGUUGUACUAAUACCGCAUAAGACCACGGAGUCACAUGGCUCAGGGGUCAAAGGAGCAAUCCGGUAAGGGGUGGGCUCGCGUCCGAUUAGAUAGUUGGUGAGGUAACGGCCCACCAAGUCGACGAUCGGUAGCCGACCUGAGAGGGUGAUCGGCCACAUUGGGACUGAGACACGGCCCAAACUCCUACGGGAGGCAGCAGUGGGGAAUAUUGGGCAAUGGGGGGAAACCCUGACCCAGCAACGCCGCGUGAGGGAAGAAGGUUUUCGGAUCGUAAACCUCUGUCCUUGGUGAAGAGGAAGAGACGGUAGCCAAGGAGGAAGCCCCGGCUAACUACGUGCCAGCCGCCGC